UAGGGAAUAUUGGUCAAUGGGCGAGAGCCUGAACCAGCCAUGCCGCGUGCAGGAUGACGGCCUUAUGGGUUGUAAACUGCUUUUAUACGGGAAGAAAAAGUCCUUGCGAGGAAAAUUGCCGGUACCGUAUGAAUAAGCACCGGCUAACUCCGUGCCAGCAGCCGCGGUAAUACGGAGGGUGCAAGCGUUGUCCGGAUUUAUUGGGUUUAAAGGGUACGUAGGCGGACUUUUAAGUCCGUGGUGAAAGCCUGCAGCUUAACUGUAGAAUUGCCAUGGAUACUGGAAGUCUUGAAUUCAGUUGAGGUAAGCGGAAUUUAUGAUGUAGCGGUGAAAUGCAUAGAUAUCAUAAAGAACACCUAUUGCGAAGGCAGCUUGCUGGACUUGGAUUGACGCUAAGGUACGAAAGCGUGGGGAGCGAACAGGAUUAGAUACCCCCGUAGUCC
rnacentral:rRNA from 1 species